GGGAAUAUUGGACAAUGGGCGCAAGCCUGAUCCAGCCAUACCGCGUGGGUGAAGAAGGCCUUCGGGUUGUAAAGCCCUUUUGUUGGGAAAGAAAUCCAGCUGGUUAAUACCCGGUUGGGAUGACGGUACCCAAAGAAUACGCACCGGCUAACUUCGUGCCAGCAGCCGCGGUAAUACGAAGGGUGCAAGCGUUACUCGGAAUUACUGGGAGUAAAGCGUGCGUAGGUGGUCGUUUAAGUCUGUUGUGAAAGCCCUGGGCUCAACCUGGGAACUGCAGUGGAAACUGGACGACUAGAGUGUGGUAGAGGGUAGCGGAAUUCCUGGUGUAGCAGUGAAAUGCGUAGAGAUCAGGAGGAACAUCCAUGGCGAAGGCAGCUACCUGGACCAACACUGACACUGAGGCACGAAAGCGUGGGGAGCAAACAGG
rnacentral:rRNA from 1 species